rnacentral:rRNA from 4 species
GUGGGUAGUUUGACUGGGGCGGUCUCCUCCUAAAGAGUAACGGAGGAGCACGAAGGUUGGCUAAUCCUGGUCGGACAUCAGGAGGUUAGUGCAAUGGCAUAAGCCAGCUUGACUGCGAGCGUGACGGCGCGAGCAGGUGCGAAAGCAGGUCAUAGUGAUCCGGUGGUUCUGAAUGGAAGGGCCAUCGCUCAACGGAUAAAAGGUACUCCGGGGAUAACAGGCUGAUACCGCCCAAGAGUUCAUAUCGACGGCGGUGUUUGGCACCUCGAUGUCGGCUCAUCACAUCCUGGGGCUGAAGUAGGUCCCAAGGGUAUGGCUGUUCGCCAUUUAAAGUGGUACGCGAGCUGGGUUUAGAACGUCGUGAGACAGUUCGGUCCCUAUCUGCCGUGGGCGCUGGAGAACUGAGGGGGGCUGCUCCUAGUACGAGAGGACCGGAGUGGACGCAUCACUGGUGUUCGGGUUGUCAUGCCAAUGGCACUGCCCGGUAGCUAAAUGCGGAAGAGAUAAGUGCUGAAAGCAUCUAAGCACGAAACUUGCCCCGAGAUGAGUUCUCCCUGAGACUUAGAGUCUCCUGAAGGAACGUUGAAGACGACGACGUUGAUAGGCCGGGUGU